GAAAUUCCUAUCCCCACCACCAGGGCGAUGAACACAAAGGUGACACUGAAGACGCUUAACAGGCAAGAGUUGCUUGAUGUUGAAGACGCAAUAAAGCAACUGUUGAGCAACGUGAAUGCUAUCACAUCCUCUGAGAAUCAAACAGAUGUCAACAUUUUACGCUUUUUGAGAAUAAGAAGAGAAGAAUUAACCACGGAUGUAACAGACACAACGGAAAUGACGGAGAGUACAGUGUCAACUAUACCUACAGCCAGAUAUCCAAUCGAUGUGCCAGCUCUUCU